rnacentral:lncRNA from 1 species
CGAGCCGUGCCCGUGCACUGUAUUUUUCGGGUUGUUGCGUGACGAGGUGCCUGGCCGCGGAGCGCAAAGCCCAAAGACUACAAAUUGCGUAUGAGGCUUAACAAAUUCAGAGAGCCACUAAUCAAGGAAAUGUUAGAGCAAAGCUACACACCCACCGAGGCUGCCGGAUACCGCUUUGACUGGGCGGCGAGGGACAGUGCUAACAGUGGUAGCGUAGCGCUUGACGAAUUUGCCAUCAUGACGGAGGGAGCCACAGCAAAGUAGGUUUCAGUGGACAGAUGGAAGGCAGCCAUCAUCUGCAC